AAUAUGCUGUUUACAUAUGAAGGCAUUAGCCACACUGUUUGCAUACUUGACUAUGUUUCUAACAGUUUUUCACAAGGCCCACAAGGGAUCCAUCAGAUAGGUCAAGUUAGGAAUUAAGAAGCAGGUGUCUCCAGUCCAUUCCAGGGGAAGAAAGAAUGUCUUGCAGAAGGAGGAAUCCAAGUGGGCCACCAGUUCUCUUGACUGUGGGAGGCCUGGACUCUACCUGGAAUGAAGAGGUUUACAACACGGUCAUUCAGAGUCAAAGGCUGAACAAGUGGAGGGACCGCCAGGGCUGAUAGACACAGACAGCGGUCCUGAGGAAACACAGCAAAUUUCAGGUACAGAAACAUGUGUGUAC